AUAAUCCAAUGCUUCUAAACUUUCAGUAUGAAGAACAGGGUACUUAGUGUGUUCGGGACUGCCUGGGAAGGGAUGCCCAUGGGAGGAAGAAAUCUGACCACCAGGUGGAAGGCACUCAAGUGACCCCAGAACGGUAAAAUUAAAAACCAUCGAAGAAUCAACAGUACAAUGAGAGAGAAAAGAGCCUACAAGCUGCAUGAAUUCAGGCAAGUUCUGCAAUCCUGAGGUCCACUGUUCUUUGCCAAGUGAGAGACCAUCUCUACAGGCUUUGCCAUGCAGAGACCCCUUGGACAGGCAUUCAUAUGCUGAUCAGAGACUAGGCUGCAUGACUCCCUACACUGAACACUGUGCCUGUGUCUGAGACCGAGUUAAGGUGCACUGUGUCCUUGUGAGAAAAAGGAAAACAAGGCUGAAUAAGGUCUCUCCUGAGGUUCCUGCCACAGUACCUAGAAUCCAGUCUCAACCUCAGAUGUCAUUAUUCAGGGCCCUGCUGCCCACAUUCCAGCUGUAUUGACUGGUUCUCCAGGAAGAGGUGGAUCUCUCUUGCUUAGCUGCUGUCCCUUCCUCAAGCCAGGGGACCUCUUUGCUUCAGCCACCUGAGAAGAGGCCAAUACCACCACACCUACCAAGGCAUGUGCAGCAAUGCCAGCAGAAUCAUUAGACUCUCCAUGUGACUAUUUUAGAGUCCCUCUGAGUGAUACCAGGGCAUUUUUGGCUAUGGAGAAAUAUCCCUCCCUCUGCAAUAGUGACCCCAGGUCACCUCUACAUGGGACCCAGAAAAAAUGCUCUACUCCCUCAGACAUUCUGUCUCAUUGCUGAGACCACCAGGGCAGGAGGACAACCCACGAUCUGCUGAGCCAUCUGCACCUGGCAAGGCCACCCUUUCUCUACUAAAUAAAGGGCACUGGAGUCGCCA